GUGGGGAAUCUUAGACAAUGGGGGAAACCCUGAUCUAGCCAUGCCGCGUGAGCGAUGAAGGCCUUAGGGUUGUAAAGCUCUUUCAGCUGGGAAGAUAUGACGGUACCAGCAGAAGAAGCCCCGGCUAACUCCGUGCCAGCAGCCGCGGUAAUACGGAGGGGGCUAGCGUUGUUCGGAAUUACUGGGCGUAAAGCGCACGUAGGCGGAUCAGAAAGUCAGAGGUGAAAUCCCAGGGCUCAACCUUGGAACUGCCUUUGAAACUCCUGGUCUUGAGGUCGAGAGAGGUGAGUGGAAUUCCGAGUGUAGAGGUGAAAUUCGUAGAUAUUCGGAGGAACACCAGUGGCGAAGGCGGCUCACUGGCUCGAUACUGACGCUGAGGUGCGAAAGCGUGGGGAGCAAACAGGAUUAGAAACCCUUGUAGUCC
rnacentral:rRNA from 1 species